UCCGAUCUCCUUCCGCAGUCCCGCACCCUCUCCCUCCGUCCAUUUCUUCAGCCCCCGCCCCCAAUCCUACCCCAUGCCCGCCGUCUCCGCCGCCUUGCCACCCCAUCUUCCCCCUUCCCCCCGCGCCUGCUGCCGCCGCCCCUCUUUCCUCCCCUGCGCCAAGCCUGCCGCCGCCCCCGGUGACGAGGACCUCAGCGAUAGUCCAGUUCCCCUCUUGCGACGAUGGCGAGGACAAGAGGAGGUGGGAUGAGGACCGGGCGAGGAGGAGUGCAUCUCACUCCCCGUCUGCCAGCACUGCCCUCCAUCGUGCUCUCCCCUCUCCAACCCCGGCCGCCCCGAGCCCUCCAAGUGCACAUACCGGCCCCAAACCAAGAGGUUGGCCCCAGAUCGAGGCGCCCCUGACCUCCGUCCGUGGAGCUGCCCCAAUCUGCCGCCCCCUUCAAGCUGUCGACUGAGACUCAGGCGAGCGCCGUGGAGGCGAGUCAAGCGGGCUCCAGCGGUGCUAUGGAUGGGAUAUUUACCGCCGUCGCUGUGAGGGCUGCCACGAUCUAAGGUUCUGGCCAAUCAAUUUUUCUGGCCGAUCUAAUUGAUGCAAUCCUCCAGACAUUUAUCUCCAUUUAUCUCCAUACUCAGUAUAGCAGUGUAUUACUCUAAAGACGACAUCUAGAUUGGGCAAGUAAGCGUUUCUGAUCAUUUGUGAAAUUUGUCUGUUUGACAGGGAAACAUUUUGCCAAGCAUUGCAGGCUGAAAUCUGUCACAAAUCUCGUCUUUUGGAUUCUUGCGGAACUUGUUUUGACACUCCUAAAGGUAUUGAGAUUAGCUCCAUGUGCACAUUUUUUUAAUUUCAAUUUAAGCAAAGAGGUACGCUUAUUAUAAGAUUCAGCCAUGUAGUAAUACUGCACAUGUGUAAUACUAAUUCUUUACUAUAUAAAUUGGAAACCAUAGGAAUCUUUUUCAAUUUGGCAUAUCAAAGAACAACUCAUAUUGAAUUCUCCUGGUAAUUUAUUUUUGUAAGAUGCUGGUUUACUCUUUAUAGUAUCUGGACCUAUUUUUUCAAUUGUGUGGUGUUCUCAUAAAUGGACUUGGCACUCUAAUGGUCUUGUUACUACAACAAUAUUGAGUAAUAAAAAUUUCCUAUUCCGGUUAGCAGAUCUUCUGGGCACCAGUUUGGGUAUGAGCAAUUCCUUCUCUCACUUGGAGAAUGUCUCAUUUGAUCAUACCAUUCUGUAGUUUAACUUCACUAAUAUCAAUACAGUAGCUGGUUGUUCUUCUUUCUUUAGAAAAUUUUAAGCACGUGUAUAUAUUUUUUUAAGGGGCUCAUUCAUCAGCCCUAAGCACACAUUGCAUUAGAUGCUUGCAAACAAGGUGCUCACACAAGAGUUUUUUCGAUUUUAAUCAAUAAUUUUGUGCUAAUAAUUUUGAUUUUGCCUUGCCUUCCUGUCAGGAGUAAUUUCUUAAGAAUUCCUACAAGGAAUAACUGCCUCAUUGGAAAUUAUUGUAGAAGUGUGGAAGGAUAAGGGGAUAUUACAACAACAAACAAGAAGAGGCUUCAUGAUCAUUUGAGUUAGAACUACAACCCAAAAAAUAAAUGGUCUGUCCAGUUAUUAAUAUUCUGGUUUCAUACUGCAAAAAUAGAAAAGUGAUUAAAACCCUCCCAAGUAGUCUGUCCUGCUGCACUUUCUUUUCUAUAAUCCUGAUGCCAUUUUGUUUCAUGUGCCUGGAAGUGAUGGGAGAAGGUGGAGGAGAAGGGCUUUAGAAGUUCUUAAUUUGCAGGUUCAUUUUUUUUUGCUACUUUCAGAGGAGCAACUGAUAUAAAUUGAUAGUUACUAAUUUGUCAUGUGCAGGCUUCAGAGGAGCAACUGAUUUUUUUGAACAAUCUAGGAGCGUGAGGGGAAACUCAGCCUGUUCUUGAUCAUCUCAUGUAAGAAGUUUGAUUCUUGCUUUACAUAAAUGAGUAGCUGGACCUUACAAGACUGAAUAUCCUUUUACUGUCAGCACAGCUCUUUGAUUGAUCCCACCUGUCUUGGUUUGACAAUCGAUUUUGUAUUGCCUGCUUAGUGCUUAGCAUGUAAAACAAUUGCCACUGUUGAUGUGUAGAUAUAGUUUAGAAACCAAAUAUUCUGAAAUUGCAGCUGCUAUGGAUAGUCCUGAAAUUGUUCUAAAAAUGCAGCUGCUACACUAUAAUGGCAUCUUUCCGAAAAUUUAAAUGUCACUAAUAUAAGCUGCCAUCCUCAUUCUGUCAGUUACAACAUAGUGUGUGCUUACUGAAUGUUCUAACUCAUAGCUUACUAGAUGUAUCUAUAAACUCAGCCGUGGGCAAGAUUUCAUAUACAACCUUUGAUUUCCCAGUUCUCAUGCAAGUAGUAGUGUUUUUACAGGUGCUAAUGAAAUCAUGGCCUAAUGCCAUGAUGUGCCUUAAAUAUUGUGAGUGAACGACAGGGUAACUUGCUAUAAUGUUGUUUGCACACGUUACUUAUUUAAAGCAGCAUAGCCAUAUCUAUAAUAUUGAAUAGAAAAUUGCACUAUUCUUGUUUUUAAAGUAGCAUAGCCAUAUCUAUACUAUUGAAUAGAAAUUGCACUAUUCUUGUUUCUUGGAGUUGAGAUACCUUUGCGUGAUUGCUGAUAUUGUUCUGUAUUAUAGAAUGCUCAACACCCGAGAUGUAUUUUGAUUUUUCUAAUUUUUUUAUGCUCAUGUGAAGGUAAAGCUAAACGGGUAAGUUCAAAGUGUUAUAAAUGGUUUGCGAAAUUCUUUUUUUAUUUACUAUGCUAAACUCAGUAAUUAUUGAUCAUAUUUAUUUUUCCCAUCUAACGGGCAACAUAAUUGCCAAGGGCUCUCGGUAAUUGAACUUUUGCUAUUUUGUGAUAUGUACAUGAGUUCUUUCUUGGACCAAAGAUGUUUCAGUAUGAUAUUGCAGUGAUGUUGGAACUUGAUUAGUUGCUCUUGAGGCCUGAGCUGUUCUCAUUUGCUUUGUUGUGCUUAUAAGGAACAAUGGCCUAUAGGCUAUAUGUUGAUGGAUAAAUAUACUAGAGAAUGCCUGGCUGUCUGGUAACAAAUACUAAUUUUGGUAAAUAAACAAUGUUGCCAUGAUCAGUUGCUGAAUUUCCCAUACUAUUUAAUCUCUUAACAAUUAGGUGAAUAUUGGUAUUAAUAGUAUAUGUCCAUCCUUGCAUUAAUUGGUAGGAGAUAUGAUGUUACUUGUUAAAGUCUAAAUUGUAUUUGGGAGCACCUACCGGGCUAGGAGAUAAGAUGUUACUUGUUAAAUGUUGAAAUUUGUAUCGAGUACCUAUUUUUCUGUGAAAGCACAAAAGAAUAAUCAAAGAUUGAUAAGGUACAUGCUUAUCAAUGCUUGUUCCAGGGGACUUACGUUGUUAAGGUAGCUUAUAUACUAGAAUGGUUUUUUAACCCUGCCAAUUAUAUGAAGUUUAUGGUUGUUUUUUAAGGAUAAAUGACCAUAAAGUACAUUGUUUUGAAUCAUUAUUAUUUUUUUCCAACUGCAAAAUCCUGCUUGUAUCUAUGUCUCUUCAGCAGUCUACUGAUCGUGCUCCAAACUCUAAAUCUGUUUGCGAUCUUUCAUGCUACUAAUUUGUCUAGCAAACAGUUAUGUUUGGAAGCUAUAAUCAUCGGUGUGAUUUAUUAGAUUCUUAAAUGAUAAGCCCUUUUCCAUAAGUGAAGCUUGAUUAAUGUGAUUUUAGCUUCAAAUCUAAAACAUGUCCCAUUCAGCAGACAUGUAAAUGAGCUCUGGAGGGAUGCAAAAUCUAGGAACCACACUACUUAGAUGCACACCGUGCCUUGCACAAGAGAUGAACACCCACUUGCAAGGCAUGUGCUGGCUGAUUUGGAAGUACAAAGAGGAAGGAUUAAUUGGAGUUGGGAUUAUUUCUUCUGUCAAGACGAAAAACCAAAGUUGUAAUAAAUUUGGGCAUAUGGACAAGGAUGUGCCAUUUGCGAAGUAGAAAAAUUGUUUUGUUGAUGAAUCUUAGUGAACAAAAAGCUUUGUGCAUCUAAAUUGUUAUGCUAAUUAUUUUGCUUCUAGGUCCAUCUUAUAGGUCUUUCUUGUUAAGGUGGUUUAUUUUAUUUAAUUAUGUUGUAAGUCCGUAGCAAGGUAGCCGGUCACAAUUCUAGUCUUCACCUAUUUCUAAACAGUGGUCUGUUUCUGCGGUAAGUUGACUGUUGGUCUGUCAUAUGUCAAUGGCAACUGGAUUUUCCCCCUAUUCAAACAUCCUCUUCGUACCGCUUCGCGUGAAAGAAAAAAAGAAUUGAGUCUUUCUUCUCCCUCACGCGUCCCUAUCUCCUUAUGCCGUCGCUGUCGUAAGGACCCCGGCUACAUCGUCGACACCGCCACACCGGCGACGCCCACGCCCCCCGCCACCUCUCCGGUGCCAGCGAACCCGCCGCCGACCCCGGCGAGGCCCG
rnacentral:lncRNA from 1 species